rnacentral:misc_RNA from 1 species
UACGGAGGGUGUAAGCGUUGUUCGGAUUUACUGGGCGUAAAGCGCGCGCAGGCGGAUCGGCAAGUCAGAUGUGAAAUCCCGGGGCUCAGCCCCGGAACUGCGUCUGAAACUGCUAGUCUAGAGUCUCACAGGGGGCAGGGGAAUUUCACGUGUAGGGGUAAGAUCCGUAGAGAUUUGAAGGAACACCCGUGGCGAAGGCGCCUGCCUGGAUGAGCACUGACGCUGAGGCGCGAAAGCGUGGGGAGCAAACAGG